GUGCUGCUGAAGAGUCCCAAACUAGGGCGAAACAGCUGUCCAGUAC
rnacentral:hammerhead_ribozyme from 1 species